rnacentral:rRNA from 1 species
GACGAACGCUGGCGGCGCGCCUAACACAUGCAAGUCGAACGAGCGAGAGAGAGCUUGCUUUCUCGAGCGAGUGGCGAACGGGUGAGUAACGCGUGAGGAACCUGCCUCAAAGAGGGGGACAACAGUUGGAAACGACUGCUAAUACCGCAUAUGCCUUAACUAUCGCAUGAUAGAAGAGGGAAAGGAGAAAUCCGCUAACAGAUGGGCUUGCGUCUGAUUAGAUAGUUGGUAGGGUAACGGCCUACCAAGUCGACGAUCGGUAGCCGGACUGAGAGGUUGAACGGCCACAUUGGGACUGAGACACGGCCCAG